rnacentral:rRNA from 1 species
GACGAACGCUGGCGGCGUGCUUAACACAUGCAAGUCGAACGCUGAAGCCCUGGCUUUUGUUGGGUUGGAUGAGUGGCGAACGGGUGAGUAACACGUGAGUAACCUGCCCUCUUCUUUGGGAUAACGCCCGGAAACGGGUGCUAAUACUGGAUAUUCACUGAUCUUCGCAUGGGGGUUGGUGGAAAGGUUUGUUCUGGUGGGGGAUGGGCUCGCGGCCUAUCAGCUUGUUGGUGGGGUGAUGGCCUACCAAGGCUUUGACGGGUAGCCGGCCUGAGAGGGUGACCGGUCACAUUGGGACGGAGAUACGGCCCAGACUCCUACGGGAGGCAGCAGUGGGGAAUAUUGCACAAUGGGCGAAAGCCUGAUGCAGCGACGCCGCGUGAGGGAUGGAGGCCUUCGGGUUGUAAACCUCUUUCGCUCAUGGUCAAGCCGCAACUGUGGGUUGUGGUGAGGGUAGUGGGUAAAGAAGCGCCGGCUAACUACGUG